GCUUCGGGCAUUGGUACCGGCAACGACUGGCUGACAGCAGUGGCGACCGCACUGAGCGAGGUCGGGCAGGGCCCAUUCGAUUUGGCUGUGGUCUUCGCCCACCCGGCCUACGCGGGGGCGCUCUCCGGCAUUGCGCGGGCGAUCGAAGCCCGGUUGACGCCGCGGGUCCUCAUCGGUUGCACCGGGCAGGGCGUGAUCGGUACCGCGCGGGAAGUGGAAGGUGAGCCGGGCAUCGCCGUCGCCGGGCUUUCGCUGCCGGGGGCGAAGCUGGCCUCGGGCAGGGUCGCGCAGGGGGAAAUGGUGGCAACGCCGCUCGAAGCGGAGGAUUGGCGCGCGCUCAU
rnacentral:misc_RNA from 1 species